UACAGAGGUCUCAAGCGUUGUUCGGAUUCAUUGGGCGUAAAGGGUGCGUAGGCGGCGCGGUAAGUCGGGUGUGAAAUCUCGGAGCUUAACUCCGAAACUGCAUUCGAUACUGCCGUGCUUGAGGACUGGAGAGGAGACUGGAAUUUACGGUGUAGCGGUGAAAUGCGUAGAUAUCGUAAGGAAGACCAGUGGCGAAGGCGGGGUCUCUGGACAGUUCCUGACGCUGAGGCACGAAGGUCAGGGGAGCAAAACGGGGG
rnacentral:rRNA from 1 species